CCUACGGGAGGCAGCAGUAAGGAAUAUUGGUCAAUGGGCGCAAGCCUGAACCAGCCAUGCCGCGUGCAGGAAGACGGCCCUAUGGGUUGUAAACUGCUUUUGAACAAGAGAAAACCUCGGUACGUGUACCGAGCUGAUAGUAUUGUUAGAAUAAGCAUCGACUAACUUCGUGCCAGCAGCCGCGGUAAGACGAAGGAUGCAAGCGUUAUCCGGAUUCAUUGGGUUUAAAGGGUGCGUAGGCGGCCUGAUAAGUCAGUGGUGAAAUCUCUCAGCUUAACUGAGAAACUGCCAUUGAUACUGUCGGGCUUGAGUACAGAUGAUGUGGGCGGAAUAUGACAUGUAGUGGUGAAAUACUUAGAUAUGUCAUAGAACACCGAUUGCGAAGGCAGCUCACAAAACUGUAACUGACGCUGAGGCACGAAAGUGCGGGGAUCAAACAGGAUUAGAUACCCUGGUAGUCCGCACCGUAAACGAUGAUUACUCGUUGUUGGCAAUAUGACCGUCAGCGACCAAGCGAAAGCGAUAGAAUCCACCUGGGGAGUACGCCGGCAACGGUGAAACUCAAAUGAAUUGACGGCGNGAGAGNGCGACGGACGACGACGAGGGAGGAGG
rnacentral:rRNA from 1 species